rnacentral:rRNA from 1 species
CAGUCGCCGCGGGAAUACAGAGGGUGCGAGCGUUAAUCGGAUUUACUGGGCGUAAAGCGUGCGUAGGCGGCUUUUUAAGUCGGAUGUGAAAUCCCUGAGCUUAACUUAGGAAUUGCAUUCGAUACUGGGAAGCUAGAGUAUGGGAGAGGAUGGUAGAAUUCCAGGUGUAGCGGUGAAAUGCGUAGAGAUCUGGAGGAAUACCGAUGGCGAAGGCAGCCAUCUGGCCUAAUACUGACGCUGAGGUACAAAAGCAUGGGGAGCAAACAGGAUUAGAUACCCCUGUAGUCCCUGUCUCUUAUAC